GGGUUGUGAGGUUAAGCGACUAAGCGUACACGGUGGAUGCCCUGGCAGUCAGAGGCGAUGAAGGACGUGCUAAUCUGCGAUAAGCGUCGGUAAGGUGAUAUGAACCGUUAUAACCGGCGAUUUCCGAAUGGGGAAACCCAGUGUGUUUCGACACACUAUCAUUAACUGAAUCCAUAGGUUAAUGAGGCGAACCGGGGGAACUGAAACAUCUAAGUACCCCGAGGAAAAGAAAUCAACCGAGAUUCCCCCAGUAGCGGCGAGCGAACGGGGAGGAGCCCAGAGCCUGAAUCAGUGUGUGUGUUAGUGGAAGCGUCUGGAAAGGCGCGCGAUACAGGGUGACAGCCCCGUACACAAAAAUGCACAUGCUGUGAGCUCGAUGAGUAGGGCGGGACACGUGGUAUCCUGUCUGAAUAUGGGGGGACCAUCCUCCAAGGCUAAAUACUCCUGACUGACCGAUAGUGAACCAGUACCGUGAGGGAAAGGCGAAAAGAACCCCGGCGAGGGGAGUGAAAAAGAACCUGAAACCGUGUACGUACAAGCAGUGGGAGCACGCUUAGGCGUGUGACUGCGUACCUUUUGUAUAAUGGGUCAGCGACUUAUAUUCUGUAGCAAGGUUAACCGAAUAGGGGAGCCGAAGGGAAACCGAGUCUUAACUGGGCGUUAAGUUGCAGGGUAUAGACCCGAAACCCGGUGAUCUAGCCAUGGGCAGGUUGAAGGUUGGGUAACACUAACUGGAGGACCGAACCGACUAAUGUUGAAAAAUUAGCGGAUGACUUGUGGCUGGGGGUGAAAGGCCAAUCAAACCGGGAGAUAGCUGGUUCUCCCCGAAAGCUAUUUAGGUAGCGCCUCGUGAAUUCAUCUCCGGGGGUAGAGCACUGUUUCGGCAAGGGGGUCAUCCCGACUUACCAACCCGAUGCAAACUGCGAAUACCGGAGAAUGUUAUCACGGGAGACACACGGCGGGUGCUAACGUCCGUCGUGAAGAGGGAAACAACCCAGACCGCCAGCUAAGGUCCCAAAGUCAUGGUUAAGUGGGAAACGAUGUGGGAAGGCCCAGACAGCCAGGAUGUUGGCUUAGAAGCAGCCAUCAUUUAAAGAAAGCGUAAUAGCUCACUGGUCGAGUCGGCCUGCGCGGAAGAUGUAACGGGGCUAAACCAUGCACCGAAGCUGCGGCAGCGACACUAUGUGUUGUUGGGUAGGGGAGCGUUCUGUAAGCCUGUGAAGGUGUGCUGUGAGGCAUGCUGGAGGUAUCAGAAGUGCGAAUGCUGACAUAAGUAACGAUAAAGCGGGUGAAAAGCCCGCUCGCCGGAAGACCAAGGGUUCCUGUCCAACGUUAAUCGGGGCAGGGUGAGUCGACCCCUAAGGCGAGGCCGAAAGGCGUAGUCGAUGGGAAACAGGUUAAUAUUCCUGUACUUGGUGUUACUGCGAAGGGGGGACGGAGAAGGCUAUGUUGGCCGGGCGACGGUUGUCCCGGUUUAAGCGUGUAGGCUGGUUUUCCAGGCAAAUCCGGAAAAUCAAGGCUGAGGCGUGAUGACGAGGCACUACGGUGCUGAAGCAACAAAUGCCCUGCUUCCAGGAAAAGCCUCUAAGCAUCAGGUAACAUCAAAUCGUACCCCAAACCGACACAGGUGGUCAGGUAGAGAAUACCAAGGCGCUUGAGAGAACUCGGGUGAAGGAACUAGGCAAAAUGGUGCCGUAACUUCGGGAGAAGGCACGCUGAUAUGUAGGUGAAGUCCCUCGCGGAUGGAGCUGAAAUCAGUCGAAGAUACCAGCUGGCUGCAACUGUUUAUUAAAAACACAGCACUGUGCAAACACGAAAGUGGACGUAUACGGUGUGACGCCUGCCCGGUGCCGGAAGGUUAAUUGAUGGGGUCAGCGCAAGCGAAGCUCUUGAUCGAAGCCCCGGUAAACGGCGGCCGUAACUAUAACGGUCCUAAGGUAGCGAAAUUCCUUGUCGGGUAAGUUCCGACCUGCACGAAUGGCGUAAUGAUGGCCAGGCUGUCUCCACCCGAGACUCAGUGAAAUUGAACUCGCUGUGAAGAUGCAGUGUACCCGCGGCAAGACGGAAAGACCCCGUGAACCUUUACUAUAGCUUGACACUGAACAUUGAGCCUUGAUGUGUAGGAUAGGUGGGAGGCUUUGAAGUGUGGACGCCAGUCUGCAUGGAGCCGACCUUGAAAUACCACCCUUUAAUGUUUGAUGUUCUAACGUUGACCCGUAAUCCGGGUUGCGGACAGUGUCUGGUGGGUAGUUUGACUGGGGCGGUCUCCUCCUAAAGAGUAACGGAGGAGCACGAAGGUUGGCUAAUCCUGGUCGGACAUCAGGAGGUUAGUGCAAUGGCAUAAGCCAGCUUGACUGCGAGCGUGACGGCGCGAGCAGGUGCGAAAGCAGGUCAUAGUGAUCCGGUGGUUCUGAAUGGAAGGGCCAUCGCUCAACGGAUAAAAGGUACUCCGGGGAUAACAGGCUGAUACCGCCCAAGAGUUCAUAUCGACGGCGGUGUUUGGCACCUCGAUGUCGGCUCAUCACAUCCUGGGGCUGAAGUAGGUCCCAAGGGUAUGGCUGUUCGCCAUUUAAAGUGGUACGCGAGCUGGGUUUAGAACGUCGUGAGACAGUUCGGUCCCUAUCUGCCGUGGGCGCUGGAGAACUGAGGGGGGCUGCUCCUAGUACGAGAGGACCGGAGUGGACGCAUCACUGGUGUUCGGGUUGUCAUGCCAAUGGCACUGCCCGGUAGCUAAAUGCGGAAGAGAUAAGUGCUGAAAGCAUCUAAGCACGAAACUUGCCCCGAGAUGAGUUCUCCCUGACUCCUUGAGAGUCCUGAAGGAACGUUGAAGACGACGACGUUGAUAGGCCGGGUGUGUAAGCGCAGCGAUGCGUUGAGCUAACCGGUACUAAUGAACCGUGAGGCUUAACCUUACAACGCCGAAGCUGUU
rnacentral:rRNA from 1 species